GGUUCUAUGGUGUAGAGGCAGCACGUCAGAUUCUGACUUUCUGAGUUUUCUGAAGACCUCAGUUCGAUCCUGGGUAGAACCU